rnacentral:sRNA from 1 species
UUCUAGCCCCGAUAGUAGCGGUAUCCUUUUUUCAUGCUUUUUUUGCAUGGAAAAAGAUAUAGCGUAUAGCGGGAAAUAGC